AUUGAACGCUGGCGGCAGGCUUAACACAUGCAAGUCGAGCGGAGUGAUGGUGCUUGCACUAUCACUUAGCGGCGGACGGGUGAGUAAUGCUUAGGAAUCUGCCUAUUAGUGGGGGACAACAUCUCGAAAGGGAUGCUAAUACCGCAUACGUCCUACGGGAGAAAGCAGGGGAUCACUUGUGACCUUGCGCUAAUAGAUGAGCCUAAGUCGGAUUAGCUAGUUGGUGGGGUAAAGGCCUACCAAGGCGACGAUCUGUAGCGGGUCUGAGAGGAUGAUCCGCCACACUGGGACUGAGCCACGGCCCAGACUCCUACGGGAGGCAGCAGUGGGGAAUAUUGGACAAUGGGGGGACCCCUGAUCCAGCCAAGCCGCGUGUGUGAAGAAGGCCUUAUGGUUGUAAAGCACUUUAAGCGAGGAGGAGGCUCUUUUGGUUAAUACCCAAGAUGAGUGGACGUUACUCGCAGAAUAAGCACCGGCUAACUCUGUGCCAGCAGCCGCAGUAACAC
rnacentral:rRNA from 1 species